rfam:Schistosoma margrebowiei strain Zambia genome assembly, scaffold: SMRZ_contig0002276
AAACUGACGAGUCCCAAAUAGGACGAAACGCGCGUCCUGGAU